rnacentral:siRNA from 1 species
UGCAUAUAGCCAUAUAGAGUC